AGCAGCCGCGGUAAUUCCAGCUCCAAUAGCGUAUAUUAAAGUUGUUGCAGUUAAAAAGCUCGUAGUUGAAUUUCGGGGUCAGUAGAUUGGUCGUGCCACUGGUAUGUACUGGUCUUACUGGCUCCUCCUUCCUGAUGAACCGUAAUGCCAUUAAUUUGGUGUUGCGGGGAAACUGGACUGUUACUUUGAAAAAAUUAGAGUGUUUAAAGCAGGCUAACGCUUGAAUACAUUAGCAUGGAAUAAUGAAAUAGGACGUUCGAUCUUUUUUUGUUGGUUUCUAGGAUUGACGUAAUGAUUAAUAGGGAUAGUUGGGGGCAUUAGUAUUCAAUUGUCAGAGGUGAAAUUCUUGGAUUUAU
rnacentral:rRNA from 1 species